rfam:Daucus carota subsp. sativus cultivar DH1 chromosome 6, whole genome shotgun sequence.
UGGCAGUGAUGAUGAAAAUUAUACCAUCAAACUAUGAAGGCCUUAACUAAGCCUGUUGAUGCGAACAAUAAUUCUUUUUACUGAGCCU